GGUCCUUCUUAGCCCCUAGAUUUCAAAGGGGAGGGCUUCUUUUCCUCUCUCUCCUAUAUUAGCUUAAAAAAUGGAGUAGGGAGAUGGGCAGCAGUGGGCAGUAACUCUUUAAAAACCAACUUAGUCUUCAGAGCAGAUGCUAAAACCGCAGUUGCUCGCAGUCUUUGAUCCAGGGUGUCCAGAGGAGACUUGAACUGUCGGAAUGACUCAAGUUUCUGCUGAUCUAGGAGGAUGAAGGGUCGGCUGUGCUGUGAAGGGGACAGUAGUGGGCAGAGCAGAGUGAGGCAAGGGUGUCACAGAAAACAGUAAUAGUAAUUUCUCUGUCUUGCUGUUUCCUUUCCCACCUCAUUGGUCAACCCGCUGCAGCCUGUGGCAUAGCCAGAGGAGGCCUCUCAGUGUGAGGCCAACAAUGGUGCCUUCCCCAUCAACACAGACACUAUAAUAUGCUGGUGUUCUCCGAUCCCUGGGGUCCCUCCUCUUUCUGCUGUGGCUGGUUGCAUCUGCAAGUUGGCGUCAGCAAUGGCCGGAGCCAUCACUAAGCUACAUUGCAACAUCUCUCCAUCAAACUCUCCCGGCAUGGGCUUCUGGGGUGACCCAGAGCCAAGUGUGACCUGUGACUUACUCGUUUUGGGGGCUUUUAAUUCAUCAGACUAUCCAGAUCGGCCCAGCUGAGGGGCUGCUUUGGUAAUUUGCCAAAAGCCUAAGGCCUACAGCUGCAGAUCCCACUAUGCCACACUCCAGCUUGGUCAGAACAGCUGUUGAAGGACGGCGGAUCGGGGCUGAGUCAGGUUUUCUGGCUGGGACGGUAGCAGCUGAUCCAAGGUCCCGUCUGCAUGCAGCACUUAACACUCCAUCUGUGGCUUUUGGAGUCUGUCUAGUCUCAACAUGAGACAGUUGGACCGAAGCCACUGAGCUCCAACUCGGGAACAGUAAAGGGAAGGACGAAAGGAAGAACACUGCCUGCCCAGGAGUGGGGGAGGAGAUUGUGCUGGUGCUUGUAGAGCUCCCAUGUGACCAUGGCACUGAGGCUGCCUUGUAGCGGUGCUAUUAGCACACACCGAUGGCUGCAGGGCAUCAUCCCAUGAUCACUCUGAGAUGAACAGGUGGCUGUCUGGGUAGCACCGUAUAAGCAAUGCGAGAGCCACUGUCUGACAGUUCUUAAGUCUUUGGUGCUCCUCUCCACCUUUCUCUGUAUCGGGGGCAGAGGGAGGCCUGGAAGCUCAGAUGGCAGCCUGGAUCUCUAUAUUUGUGUCUCACGGAUCCCAGAAAAAAUAGGCUCAACUUGACAAGUGAAAACCAGGUGGCUGUGAAAGGACUGGACGGGGCACAUAUGGUGUCCUGAGCAGGCUCGCUAACGGACCUGGAUUACACUCCUUCCCUGCCCCUUUGGGGUAAUGGGUUACUCUGGUGCAAUAAUGUCAUACAAAUCUGAGGCAGAGAAAUAAUCUGCUUCCCUUGCAUAACUGCUUGGCAAUCCCACUGCUUCUGUCCAGGGCCGGCGCUUCCAUUUAGGCGGCCUAGGCAAUUGCCUAGGGCGCCAGGAUUAUUGGGGGGCAGCAUUUUGCCGGCGGGGGACGGCAGGCGGCUCCGGUGGACCUGCCGCAGUCGUGCCUGCGGAGGGUCCCCUGGUCCCGCGGCUCCGGUGGACCUCCCACAGGCAUGGCUGCGAUAGCUCCACCAGAGCCGCGGACCAGCGGACCCUCUCCGCAGGAAUUGCUU
rnacentral:lncRNA from 1 species